ACCUGCGUGGGCGGAACCAAGAGCCUGGCGGGGGGUCUCCUGAAUGGCGGUUCCCCCAGAACCUCCAGAGAUGUCCCAGGCCCAGCACUGUGUCUCAUGGCUGACCGCGCCCUGGAGGGUCUCGCUGUGUUUAUCCCUGUGAGGUCCUUCUACAGAGCUUUCAAGGAAGACAGAGUUCAGCCUGUUUAUUGGGAAGACUUUAAUCUCGCUCAAAACAUCUACUGUGUCACCGUACCACUGUGGCCCAGUGCCUGGUGGAGUGAGUCCAGAGCCCCAGGGGUGUCCCCUCCCCGCCUUUCUCCUGGUGUCUAGGGGCACCCAGAAACCCUCACCCCAGAUUAGACCAGUUCGUUGGCAAUGUCCCUGAGACAGAAGAGAGACACAGAGAGAAGAGACAUGGAGGAGCCGGCCAUGGAGAGAUACAGCAGAAGCUGGAGGCGACGGGAGGAUCCUGGCCCGGAGCCUCCGGAGGGAGCGGGGGCCGUGUUCCACAAGCGUGAGAGUCCUGUGUGUUGUUCUGAGCUCCCAAGGCUGGGGUAACUUGUUCCCACAGCCGUGGGAAACUGACACGUCCCAAACACAGCAGCACGA
rnacentral:antisense_RNA from 1 species